GUGACAGCAGCCGCGGUAAUACAGAGGUGCCGAGCGUUAGGCGGAAUCACUGGGCUUAAAGCGCGUGUAGGCGGGUCGUUAAGUGUCCGCGUGAAAUCCCACGGCUCAACCGUGGAACUGCCGGGCAUACUGGCGACCUUGAGGCACUUAGGGGCGAGCGGAACAAAUGGUGGAGCGGUGAAAUGCGUAGAUAUCAUUUGGAACGCCGACGGUGAAAACAGCUCGCUGGGAGUGUCCUGACGCUGAGACGCGAAAGCCAGGGGAGCGAACGGGAUUAGAAACCCGUGUAGUCC
rnacentral:rRNA from 1 species